AUGAAGCAUUGCAGCAGCCUGUGCCUGCUGCUUCUCGUGGCGCUCUGCAGCUGCUGUACUAACUUGGUCCGAGCCAAGCCACAGAUCCUCUUCCAGGGGUUCAACUGGGAGUCGUGGAAGAAGCAGGGGGGCUGGUACAACCACCUCAAGGCCCAGGUCGGCGACAUAGCCGACGCCGGCGUCACCCACGUCUGGCUCCCCCCGCCCUCGCACUCCGUCUCCCCCCAGGGCUACAUGCCGGGCCGGCUCUACGACCUCGACGCGUCCAGGUACGGCGCGGCGGCGGAGCUCAGGUCCCUGCUCGCGGCCUUCCACGCCAGAGGAAUACAGUGCGUGGCCGACGUGGUGAUCAACCACCGGACCGCCGACAAGCAGGACGCGCGCGGCGUCUACUGCGCCUUCGAGGGCGGGACGCCCGAUGCGCGCCUCGACUGGGGCCCCGCCGAGGUCUGCGCCGACGACGCCACGUACUCGGACGGCACGGGCCACCGCGACACCGGCGACGGCUUCGACGCGGCGCCCGACGUCGACCACCUGAGCCCGCGGGUGCGGAGGGAGCUCUCCGACUGGCUCCGCUGGCUCAAGACCGACGUCGGCUUCGACGGCUGGCGCCUCGACUUCGCCAGGGGCUACUCGCCCGCCGUCGCCAGGACCUACAUCGACGCCGUCAGGCUGGGCUUCGUGGUGGCCGAGAUAUGGAACCCGCUGGCCUACGACGGCGACGGCAGGCCGUCGCACAACCAGGACCGGUGCCGGCAGGGGCUGGUGGACUGGGUGGAGGCGGCGUCGCCGUCGGUCAUGGCGUUCGACUUCGCCACCAAGGGGGUGCUGCAGGCGGGCGUGCAGGCCGAGCUGUGGCGGUUGCGUGACCGGUCCGGGAAGGCGGCCGGCAUGAUCGGCUGGCUGCCGGAGAGGGCCGUCACGUUCGUCGACAACCACGACACCGGGUCGACGCAGAAGCUGUGGCCGUUCCCGGCGGACAAGGUGAUGCAGGGCUACGCCUACAUCCUCACCCACCCCGGCGUCCCCUGCAUCUUCUACGACCACAUGUUCGAGUGGAACCUGAAGGUGCAGCUGGCCAAGCUGGCGGCGAUCAGGGCGCGGAACGGCGUCCACGCCGGGAGCAAGCUGCGGAUCCUCGUCGCCGACGCCGACCUGUACGUGGCCGUCGUCGACGAGAGGGUGUUCGUCAAGAUCGGGACGAGGUACGACGUGGGCGGCGCGGUGCCGUCGGAUUUCCACAUCGCGGCGCACGGCAGGGACUACUGCGUCUGGGAGAAAGGCAGCCUCCGUGUCCCGGCCGGGAGGCACUAA
rnacentral:rRNA from 1 species